GGGGUUAACCUGGCGUCAAUGUGCGUUUGCUGUCCUCUUUCCCCGCACCUCGAAUCGGUGGACCACAUUCUUUCGAAUAGUCAAACAGCUAUCGAAGUUUGGGGUUUCUUCAACAGGGCCUGUAACAUGCGUCCAGUGGGGCCAAGCUCUGCACCAUCCGUUGCUGCUUGUUGGUGGGCGUCCUCGCCGACCUCGAGGACUCUCCCCCUCCUCAAAGGGUUGAUCCCGUCAUUCAUCCUCUGGGAGUUGCGGAUGGCUAGAAACAAGGCGCAUUUCGAUAGUCAAGGAAUGCUUUCAUCGCGGAUCAUCGGGAACAUGCUCCGAUGGGAAGAAAAGCUGGGAUUUGAGCAAGUUGGAUCAACCAAUCAAUUGAUUGACGUCCAGUGGUUUGAGUGGAGAAUUUUUAGUCAAAAGAUUGGACGGGCCUUCACCAUUUUCUUUGAAAGCUUUCCUCAACAGCUAAAUGAUGUUGAUGUUUGAACUUACUGCCAAUAGGCAGUUCCAGUUUGUUCCAUUCUCCCGAUCUCCUGGUGUAGUAUAUGCAUGGUUCGUGGUGCAAGCUUCCAUCAUGGGAGAAUGGUUCUCAAAGAACUGCAAUGUGUAAAGGCUAGCUGGGUUUUGGUCUGUCACAACUGAAGCAUACGGUGUAUGAAGAGAGUAGUAGCAACUUCACCACUGUUUUAGAUGAAACAUACCAUAAUUGGAUUAAUUAUCCUUUAAAUUUUAUUUUUAUUUUUAAAAAAAGAGAGGAACAUUUCAUGUUUUAGUUACUCUGUUUUCUUUAUUUUCUUCCUCUAGAUACAAAUUGAAGAUUGCAAAUCUAUUAUUUAAUUCAAUCGAGUGAAUGUUGUCCAAUGUAGAGAAAGAAGGGCUAGACCGGUAUGUUUGUUUCACACUAUUUAAAACUGGUGGUGACUCUUCCAACAUGCGUAUGGCAUUGUUGUACUGCAAUCCAGACCGUGCAAAAUCAAUGACAUAACUGUAAAUAGAUCAUUACCAAACCAUUCAACUGAUGAGUUGAUAAACCAUUUUAUUUUUCAUUUGAAUUUGGAUCACUCACCAUUUUACUUUUAAUUAACCAUCCAUUUGUUAGCCAUUGAUUGGAUGAUUAUGAUUGUUUGAUCAGUGCUAUUUUAGUUAUGUGCUCCAUCCACAAUGGGACCUACAAUCUGCAUGGUCUGCAUAGCAUUACGUCAGGGCCACAUACAAGAUGGAUGAGUCACCAUCAUUUUUUUAAAUGGUGCAAAGCUAACCUAAUGCUAUCAAUACAUCAGACCCAAGCCUGCUCAUAAGUGCCUGAACCUUAAGACCCAACCAUCAGACACAACACCUCUACACUAAUCCACAAUUAGGGAAUCGACACUACAAAUCCCAAAUUAGGGAUUCGAAACUCAAAAAUUCCCAAUACACAAAUCAUUGCACAAUGUUACUUGAAGGAUUAAAAAAUGCCAAAAAAUGCCCAAAUUGAUAUGAAUAGAUAAGGGGAGAGAGAGAGA